UCUCAGGCCUGCUCAGAUGGUUUAUGACCUUCGCUCCACUGCUUAGAUAAGCAGAAUACUUGAAGUCACUACUUGCAGAGAACAGGAAUCUAUAAACUCAUACCAUAAGAGAAAGGAAAAUUUGUUUUUCUCCUCCCUAUGUUGAGGGAGUGCUAGGAUAGACUUCAGGCCACAUUAGAUAGCAUUAUCAAGACUUUCCCUGGGUCUGGGCUGUGCCUGUUGCUGCUUCUGGGACAAGUCAGCCUAAUACAGGAAAACUUAUUUCUUUUUUUUAAAUUUUCUUUUUCUUUCUUUCUUUAAUUUCCCACCUCAGCGCAUGUCUGGUGAUAGGCACAGGAAGACGCCUAACUUCCUUUCCCUAAUUAGGACGCCACAGUUAGCGGGAACCCGCUUUACAAGUGAAAUAUCCCUGCGUUAUUGAAGCGAACUGGAGUCCCCCACCCAGCACAGCAAAGCCAAACACUGACAUGGGGCUAGCAGCGAGAGAAAAUGAGGAAAUUUUUGAAGGGCACCAAGCAAGGACAUUCAGGCAGCUCAUGCUUCAGGCCUGCACUCCCUGAUGGCUUACAGGUAAGCAGUUUUAAAGGUGGGGAGGCAGAGGUUACAGGCAAAGUCACAGGAUAAUACCUGGAGGCUAUACAUUGGUUUGACCGAAAGAUGCAGGACAUCUUGAAGCAGAAGGGGGAUAUAGGUGGACUCAAAAAUUUUCUGCUUAGCGAUUGGUUAAGGAGGCAAAGCUUUGUCUAAAAAUUUGGGGAAAAAAUGUUUGCUCUGGCUCGUGGCUGCGACUUCCUCCAGGCCCCUCAGGAAGAAAUUUAGAACAAAGAACAGCAGUCUGUCCUCAGUUCUCCUUAUCUGAGGUCUAUGUGCCAGCAGAUGAUUUGGUGGGAAUCUGGGUUUCUGAAAAACAAGUCAGGGACAUACGUCAAAAUGUUAUUUUUAGUUUCUUUAGGGAACAAAACAU
rnacentral:lncRNA from 10 species